AUUGAACGCUGGCGGCAGGCCUAACACAUGCAAGUCGAGCGAGCGGCGGACGGGUGAGUAAUGCCUGGGAAUUGCCCAGUCGAGGGGGAUAACAGUUGGAAACGACUGCUAAUACCGCAUACGAUUGGAUUGCCCAGGUGGGAUUAGCUAGUUGGUGAGGUAAUGGCUCACCAAGGCGACGAUCCCUAGCUGGUCUGAGAGGAUGGUCAUCCUCACUGGAACUGAGACACGGUCCAGACUCCACCAUGAACCACCAUUUCCUAAUAUUGCACAAUAGGGGAAACCCUGAUUCAGCCAUGCCGCGUGUGUGAAGAACUCCUUCGGGUUCUAAAGCACUUUCAGCGAGGAGGCGUUACUCGCAGAAGAAGCACCGGCUAACUCCGUGCCAGCAGCCGCGGUAAUAC
rnacentral:rRNA from 1 species